rfam:Macrostomum lignano uti_cns_0003037, whole genome shotgun sequence.
AAAACGGCCCUUUUCAGGGCCACCACAUCGAAAUGUGCCUAUACAU